rnacentral:rRNA from 1 species
CUAAGUACGAAGCCUUCCUCAAGAUGAGAUAUCCAUUAAAGGGUCGUCGAAGACUACGACGUAGAUAGGCUGCAGGUGUAAAGUCAGUAAUGGCAAAGCUGAGCAGUACUAAUUGCCCGAAACUUUUUAUCG